UACAGAGGGUGCGAGCGUUGUUCGGAAUUACUGGGCGUAAAGCGCGCGCAGGCGGAUCCUGCAAGUCUGGGGUGAAAUCUCACCGCUCAACGGUGAGGCUGCUUUGGAUACUGCGGAUCUGGAGACCGGUAGAGGCUGGUAGAAUUGCAGGUGUAGCGGUGGAAUGCGUAGAGAUCUGCAAGAAUACCCGUGGCGAAGGCGGCCAGCUGGGCCGGUUCUGACGCUGAGGCGCGAAAGCUAGGGGAGCAAACAGG
rnacentral:rRNA from 1 species